CUGUUUGUCGCUCUAUAUCUACAUUGAAAUGCAUUCAAUGUUCUGAGCAAAACUGUACAAUUCCUGUUGGAUGUAAAGGUGGUAUUGUCAAAGAUGCCUGCAACUGUUGUAAUGUCUGCGCUAAAAUUUCUGGAGAGGUGUGCGGAGGACCGUGGCAAAUAUUAGGAAAGUGCGGAAAUCAUCUCAAAUGUGUUGAGGAUUCAACAAAUAGCAAAGGAAUAUGCCGACCUAUAUGCAAAAUAAGUAGUGUGCGACAGUGCAAGAAUUAUUGCCCAUACGGAAAUGUAAUCGACGGAUACGGUUGUCCAACUUGUACCUGCAACAAUUUACCAACAUGCAGAUCAUUAGAAAAUAAAGUCUUACCUAUUUUUAAUUUAAAAUCAUGUCCUAUGAUUUUUAAAUGUUUAUUUGUAUGUGUGAACGGACCAGUAUACGAUCAAAACGGUUGUUCAAGAUGUUUAUGUCGCCGUAUACCAGCUUUCUGCGACAAAAAUGGAUGCUGUGAUCAGCCUACAAAAUUUUGCAACAACAACAAAAGAUGUUGCAUGCAUGAUUCAACUUGUUUGUCUAAACGUGGAUGGUACAGAAGUUGAUAUUGAACUUUUUU
rnacentral:lncRNA from 1 species